rnacentral:lncRNA from 1 species
GUCAAACCCCAUCGUCUGUCAUAUGUGAAGAUUUAUUCGUCUUAAGUUCGAGAGUGGAAAACUCUUUCUCCACUGUGCAUACUGCCCCGGCCGAGGUCUUAUGAACUCAGUCUUAUAAAUCACAUAGGAUCUCUCCUUAUCUAUCAAGGUCGAUAGAUUCCUUAUAGGUGCAUACCCUACUCCUACAGUGAACUUACUGCAGCCAAUCUACACUGCAUGGACCCAUAUGGCUAGGGACCAUGUAUGUGUGCAGUCAAACUACAAUAACCUCACUGUGAGUAGCCGAAGCACCGCAGGUCAAAGGACCAGUCACACUACUGCAACAUCAAGCAAGUCACUGACGGGUGGAUAGACAUCCAAGUGACUUAUUGUCUUGGUCACGCUCAGUACCCUUAUUCUCUAACAAGCACCUGCACUAUCACUUCAGUGUCCCUACAUUGUGGACUCAAGUCUCGUGCAUCCAGAAGGAAAGUGAUCUGUGCACUGAUCGGAUCGAUCACCGUCCUCGUGAUGAUCCAUUAAUCAGGAGCAUUUAGAAAUUAAUCACCAAUGAUACAUGGCUCAAAUUCUCAACUCUUGAGAAUAUGUAUCAUCAUCUUAUUAAUCUCUUGGACGAUUCAUAGACACAUAAAUAAUAUAAAUGAAAAGAUGCCUUUUAUUUAUUCAAUAAUAAAUAGUCAAGUACAAAAUUAUGUCCCUAGAAAUAACAAUGUGUCAGCCAGAUUGGCUUCU